GCAUCAUACCAGAAAAGAUGGCGUCUUCGAAACGAGGCGGUGGUCGUUCGCCAUUCAAGGACCUAACCAACACCCCAAACACAGCUGGUGACAACAAUAGCAAUGUUGGUGGAUCUAUGACAUCCGAUACACAACCACCACUCGUAGAUGCAAGAGAACGUAAGAGGCAAAGAGAUAGG